rnacentral:rRNA from 1 species
GUAGGUGGCAAGCGUUGUCCGGAAUUAUUGGGCGUAAAGCGCGCGCAGGUGGUUCUUUAAGUCUGAUGUGAAAGCCCCCGGCUCAACCGGGGAGGGUCAUUGGAAACUGGGGAACUUGAGUGCAGGAGAGGAAAGUGGAAUUCCACGUGUAGCGGUGAAAUGCGUAGAUAUGUGGAGGAACACCAGUGGCGAAGGCGACUUUCUGGCCUGUAACUGACACUGAGGCGCGAAAGCGUGGGGAGCAAACAGGGAUUAGAUACCCUGGUAGUCCACGCCGUAAACGAUGAGUGCUAAGUGUUGGGGGGGGUUUCCCGCCCCGUCAGUGCUGCAGCUAACGCAUUAAGCACUCCGCCUGGGGAGUACGGUCGCAAGACUG